UAGUAUUAGGGGCGGAUGUAGCCAAGUGGAUCAAGGCAGUGGAUUGUGAAUCCACCAUGCGCGGGUUCAAUUCCCGUCGUUCGCCCAGAAAUUGAAAUGAAUAUCAAAGAUAAAAAAAUAACAUAAAAAAUCAGUUAAUUACUCCUAUUUUUUUUUUUUAAGACGAAGAAACAAAUUCUAUUUUCUCGACUUUACUAUUUACUACGGCGACGCAGA